rnacentral:tRNA from 1 species
UAGCUCAGCCUGGAUGGAGCGGCGGCCUGCGGAGCCGUAGGUCGUGGGUUCAAGCGUAGCUGCCCAC